AAAUAUCAUAACACGAAAAGGAAUGUCAAUAAUCCCACAAUAAAAUAAGGCAAAAUGUGUAUCGAUAUUUAUUAAUAAAAUUAAUCGAUACGUUUCUAAUUUGGUAAAAGUAAUAAUGUCUUCGAUAACUUCUAAAUUAGUUUUGGGUUUAUCUUGCGCUGUAACUGUUGCAAUAGUUAGUUAUGUCCAUAUAAAACAGCAGGCAGACAGGGAAAAAAUGCAUGAGGGUGUUAUCCGAGAUACUGAAAGACAACAGAGAAGAAAAAUAGAAAACCUUUAUAUAUUAGAGAAGCAAAAUGAGUUAACUAAACAACUUAAAAAGGGAAUAGGGAACUAAUAAAAACUAUAUUGUUGACUAUGACACUAUUUAUUAUAUAAUAGAUUAAAUUUAAUUAAUACU